rnacentral:rRNA from 1 species
UGGGGAAUAUUGGACAAUGGGCGAAAGCCUGAUCCAGCCAUGCCGCGUGUGUGAAGAAGGUCUUCGGAUUGUAAAGCACUUUAAGUUGGGAGGAAGGGCAGUAAGCGAAUACCUUGCUGUUUUGACGUUACCGACAGAAUAAGCACCGGCUAACUCUGUGCCAGCAGCCGCGGUAAUACAGAGGGUGCAAGCGUUAAUCGGAAUUACUGGGCGUAAAGCGCGCGUAGGUGGUUCGUUAAGUUGAAUGUGAAAGCCCCGGGCUCAACCUGAGAACUGCAUCCAAAACUGGCGAGCUGGAGUAGGGCAGAGGGUGGUGGAAUUUCCUGUGUAGCGGUGAAAUGCGUAGAUAUAGGAAGGAACACCAGUGGCGAAAGCGACCACCUGGGCUCAUACUGACACUGAGGUGCGAAAGCGUGGGGAGCAAACAGG